rnacentral:rRNA from 1 species
GGGCCGGGGCUGCAGCCUACACAUGCAAGUCGAGCGGUAGCACAAGAGAGCUUGCUCUCUGGGUGACGAGCGGCGGACGGGUGAGUAAUGUCUGGGAAACUGCCUGAUGGAGGGGGAUAACUACUGGAAACGGUAGCUAAUACCGCAUGACGUCUUCGGACCAAAGUGGGGGACCUUCGGGCCUCACGCCAUCAGAUGUGCCCAGAUGGGAUUAGCUAGUAGGUGGGGUAAUGGCUCACCUAGGCGACGAUCUCUAGCUGGUCUGAGAGGAUGACCAGCCACACUGGAACUGAGACACGGUCCAGACUCCUACGGGAGGCAGCAGUGGGGAAUAUUGCACAAUGGGCGCAAGCCUGAUGCAGCCAUGCCGCGUGUAUGAAGAAGGCCUUCGGGUUGUAAAGUACUUUCAGCGAGGAGGAAGGCAUUAAGGUUAAUAACCUUGGUGAUUGACGUUACUCGCAGAAGAAGCACCGGCUAACUCCGUGCCAGCAGCCGCGGUAAUACGGAGGGUGCAAGCGUUAAUCGGAAUUACUGGGCGUAAAGCGCACGCAGGCGGUUGAUUAAGUCAGAUGUGAAAUCCCCGAGCUUAACUUGGGAACUGCAUUUGAAACUGGUCAGCUAGAGUCUUUGUAGAGGGGGGUAGAAUUCCCAGGUGUAAGCGGGUGAAAUGCGUAAAGAUCU